GUCAAGGACGCAAGUMUGAUCCAGCCAUGCCGCGUGCAGGAUGACGGCCCUMUGGGUUGUAAACUGCUUUUAUAUGGGAAGAAACCCCGGRAUGYGUUCCGGGCUGACGGUAUCAUAMGAAUAAGGAUCGGCUAACUUCGUGCCAGCAGCCGCGGUAAKACGAAGGAUSCWAGCGUUAUCCGGAUUUAKUGGGUUUAAAGGGUGCGUAGGCGGAWGCUUAAGYCAGUGGUGAAAUCUYYCAGCUCAACUGAGAAACUGCCAUUGAAACUGAGCAUCUUGAAUUMSAUUGAKGUAGAUGGAAUAURACAUGUAGCGGUGAAAUGCWUAGAUAUGUUAWRGAACACCGAUUGCGAAGGCAGUYUACUAAAYCGAUAUUGACGCUGAGGCACGAAAGCGUGGGUAGCGAACAGGAUUAGAUACCCUGGUAGUCCACGCCMUAAACGAUGAUUACUCGCUGUUGGCGAUACACUGUCAGYGGCUAAGCGAAAGCGUUAAGUAAUCCACCUGGGAAGUACGWCGCAAAGU
rnacentral:rRNA from 1 species